rnacentral:rRNA from 1 species
AAGACGGUCUUGCUGUCACUUAUAGAUGGAUCCGCGCUGCAUUAGCUAGUUGGUAAGGUAACGGCUUACCAAGGCAACGAUGCAUAGCCGACCUGAGAGGGUGAUCGGCCACACUGGAACUGAGACACGGUCCAGACUCCUACGGGAGGCAGCAGUAGGGAAUCUUCCGCAAUGGGCGAAAGCCUGACGGAGCAACGCCGCGUGAGUGAUGAAGGUCUUCGGAUCGUAAAACUCUGUUAUUAGGGAAGAACAUAUGUGUAAGUAACUGUGCACAUCUUGACGGUACCUAAUCAGAAAGCCACGGCUAACUACGUGCCAGCAGCCGCGGUAAUACGUAGGUGGCAAGCGUUAUCCGGAAUUAUUGGGCGUAAAGCGCGCGUAGGCGGUUUUUUAAGUCUGAUGUGAAAGCCCACGGCUCAACCGUGGAGGGUCAUUGGAAACUGGAAAACUUGAGUGCAGAAGAGGAAAGUGGAAUUCCAUGUGUAGCGGUGAAAUGCGCAGAGAUAUGGAGGAACACCAGUGGCGAAGGCGACUUUCUGGUCUGUAACUGACGCUGAUGUGCGAAAGCGUGGGGAUCAAACAGGAUUAGAUACCCUGGUAGUCCACGCCGUAAACGAUGAGUGCUAAGUGUUAGGGGGUUUCCGCCCCUUAGUGCUGCAGCUAACGCAUUAAGCACUCCGCCUGGGGAGUACGACCGCAAGGUUGAAACUCAAAGGAAUUGACGGC